UGAAAUACCUGUUUAAUUUUUUUUCUCGUGUUUAUUAAUAAAGACAAAAUCAGUAGGGGUCUAUCAUCCCAUUGAUUUAUCCCAAAAGAAGAAAAAAAAAACAAAUGUCACUCUUACAAAAUACAAAGUCUCUUUCCUCCCACUCAUGUCAUGUCACUUUGCUAGGGCACCCAACGCAACUCUCUGCGAAUUCUCUCAUUACUCCACUAGGACACCACCUCUCUCUCUCUCUCUCUCUCUCUUUCUCUCUCUCUAGGGCACCCAGAAUCAUACUCUCUUUCCUCUGAACUCUCUCUCUAUCUCCUAUGAGCUAGGGGAUCCAUAGUGGCACUGUGUCCUUGAACCCUCUCUCUCUCACUCCCUUAGGCUGGGGCAUGAAUUAGAGCACUCCUCUUACUCUUAUAAGUUCCUGCGGAUUGCAGUCCCAUAUUCAUGCACACCCAAAAGCUCGUCAUCUUAGUCCUUUUCGCCCUCAUCUUGCCUGUCUCACAUGAGUUCCAUGCGAUCUACAAAAAUAUAUGGGUCAUAUCAAUGGGAUCCAUGUAAUUUUCGAUAACAUUUUUUUGGGUAAAUAACUUUCGAUAACAUUGCGAAGUGCUAUUUGCCUGACCGCAUGCUCGUCCAAUUCAGCAUGGCGCCUAUUUCCCAUUCA
rnacentral:lncRNA from 1 species